AUGGCGCCGACGCCGCCGCCGCCCGCCAUGUCCAUCCCCGCGGAUUGCUCUCGCCUGCAUGAGGAAGGCCGCGCUUCAAUCCCCGACCGGUCUGCCUCUUCCCCCGAAGGCGACGGCAGGAUGGCAAUCGAGAGACUCACCGACGACCUCCUCAUCGAGAUCCUCUCGCGCGUCCCCGCCAAGUCGCUCUGCCGCUCCAAGUGCGUCUCCAACCACUGGCUCAGCCUCGUCGACCACCCAGACCACCGCAAAAAGCUUCCCCAACCUCUGGCCGGCUUCUUGUACAGCAGCACCUCCAGUGGUCGCUUCUUGGACUCACCUGUCCACUCUACAAGUCUCCCAUGGAGCCGCUGCCCUCUGAUGAUCACCUCCUUCGCCUUCCUGCCUAACCAUCGGCGCAUCGAUGUCAUGGACUGCUGCAACGGCCUCCUUCUCUGCCGCUGGUAUGGCGUCUCCGCCCAGGAUGAUCACUUCCGUUAUGUUGUGUGCAGUCCCGCCACCGAGCAGUGGGUCGACUUUCCGAACUCCGGCCGGGCAAGGGACCAGGUGGCCGUCACACGCUUGGGCUUCGAUCUGGCCCGGUCGUCGCAUUUCCAUGUGUUUGAGUUGCUGGAGCAGAAGGAGAACUGGACCACCGAGCUUGUCGGAGUGGCAGUGUAUUCAUCUGAAACUGGAGGAUGGGGCCGCUUACAUUAUGCCAAUUUUGAUCGCGACGACUACAACAAUGUGAUUCGACUAGCAGUUUAUGUUCUGGAGGACUAUGAAAGCAAAGAGUGGAAAGUAAAGCACACUGUUGAAGCUUCGGAAUUGUUUGGAGGGAUAGAUGUUUGCUAUGUUCAAGAUGACUUUGAAUGGGUUGGAAUCCAUCCGGAAUAUAACGUGAUAUUCUUUACUGUCGGUUGGCCUUCCUCUGCUUUCCCCAGCGGAACGGCGGCGGGCGAUACGCUCACCGACGAUGUCCUCAUAGAGAUCCUCUCACGGGUCCCCGCCAAGUCACUCUGCCGCUUCAAGUGCGUCUCCAGCCACUGGCUCGCCCUCAUCGACCACCCGGACCACCGCAAUAAGCUCCCCCAAACCCUGGCCGGCUUCUUCUACACCAGCAGCAAAAGCAACGUCGAAUAG
rnacentral:rRNA from 1 species